GCAUUUUCGAUAAGGGGUACCAUCAUCAAAAAAUACUGAUUUUUUUUAUAGCACAAUAGCAUUUUGCCACAAUUAUUAGGCAGAUUACACAAAAUUAAGAGAACCAAAGCAGCUUAAACGGUAAACUGAAAGUUAAAUGAGCCAAAUGGAAGGCAGAAUUAGAUUUAAAUGUGUAAUUCGAGACGGUUAGUGCAAUUAGUCGAUUAAAUAGCAUUUUGAAUGCCCCACUAAACUACUUGUAUACGAACAAGUAAUUCAAUUAAAUAUUUGAUUGCCUUGGAUUGUACACAAAUCACUUGCCACUCGAACAUGGAAAAGUGAUACAAAUAUCUGGCCCAAUUAAGGAAAAAUCAAUAAACCGAAAUUCGUGGCCCCCAUAAAACGGGCGCUUAUUAAUGAUCAUUCACGGCGGUUUGCCCUAAUGAGGCAUGUAAUCAUAGAGUGGCAACAAUUUGGAGCAGCGAUGUGUUAACCAGCCUAAUCCAUCUCCGCCUCCUUGGCUAUCUUCCAAACUCAUGAGCUAAGUGAACUUUCGUGAUGGAUGACGCUAAUUCCGGAGGCAGGUGGCAGCAUCAUCAGGUGUACGGGUUGCUAAUCAAAAUCAACAACACCCAAAUGAACAACACACGCCUGAAACACACUCUAAGGUCCACGCCCAAUCUCUUCUGUUAAAGUUUUCAAUUUUCCGGGCAAGUUUUGAUUAUAUUUUGUUGCUUCUUAUGCCAAGCGUAAAUUGAAUCAGAACUGGAGAUUUUCCAGCAUGCAGAAAGCGGAGGGAAAGGCUUAAACGGAUUGAGGUUUCUGACAUACUCUGGCUUUGAUGUUGGGAUUUUGUGCUGGUUUUCCGACAGUAAAAUGUCUAUCCGGUUUGCUAUUAGUUUAAAGUCAUUUGCUACUAGCGUGAGGUUUUCGUUUUUGAGUGAUGUUUAAAUAUUUAGCAGCUCUGACUAAGUGAUGCAAUAAGGAUUUUGGACAGCCUGGUAAUAGUUGCCACAGUUUCGACCUUGGGCACGGCUCAGUUCGCGGUACCAGCGCGAUAUGCGAUAACAACAAAAGCGGAUCGCAUAAAUUACAGCGCUCCUCCAUUAGCAUGUAAAUGCAGCCGACAGCGCCACCUCUGCACCACCGCACCACCGAACCACUGAACCACCAGCCACGCCCCCCACUAUGCUCGGUACUGUGCCCCACGCAAAAAGUGGAUGCGACGACAGUGACAAUGCUCGUAUUUAACUCUCCACAUUGCAUAUUUUAUUUAAUUUAUUGCCGCACAUAUUUUGAUGGCAAUGCAUGUGGACGGGGCACGUGUUUCUGUUUUGGGGUCUGAAACCCCGUCAAAAACCGGGAGAACUUAGAUUGUGCUAUGUGCCAUAUAGGAAUUGGAAUUGUGUCAGUUGAACAGUUGGGCAUGGUCAUGGUGGCAUCGCAUAUGAGGCGUGUGUUGUUGUCGCUCUUGAGAUACAUUUCAAGCGGGGCAAGAAACGCAAGCCAAACUGUGGGUAAACACAGGGGUAAAAUGAAUUACAGAGGGAAAAAUUACACAUUAUACAAGAAAACUUCAAAUAUGUAUUAUAAUAUCCUAAGUAAGGCCAUAGUUCAAUUUAAUAUACGUUAGGAAUAAAAGUUUUAAAGUUA